UGGCCAGGGUGCUGGGUUGAAGGGGUACCCAGGGGUGAUGAGGCAGAAACACUUCUUGUAAAAUGUUGCAUAUAACUUCAUUAUGACAUGAUUCAUGCAGGUACAACACACAUAAUGACAUCAUAAGAAAAGCGUGGGUGGUGCCCCAAUUUUUGUCCCACCUCAGCAUAGCCGAAUAAUUUGAAACCAGCUUGGUUGACUCUCGGGACCAUUAGGAGGGUCUAAGAGUAAGUCCUCCAAAGGGCAUUUCCCUCUUCAAUAAACCAUCAAGUCCUCCUGCCAAGGCCUGGGAGCUCUCAGCUUCCAGUGCAGGGAAAAGCAGGCAUAAGGAUUUGAAUAAAGUUAAGAAGAGAAAAGAACAACAAAAGAACAAAAACAGAUUAAGAACUGGGAGGGGAGAAUACAAGCAUCAAAGAAGGGAAACAAAAGAAAUUACAAGCUAUUCUUCUUUAACUUGA
rnacentral:lncRNA from 1 species